rnacentral:rRNA from 1 species
UUGAACGCUGGCGGCCGGCCUAACACAUGCAAGUCGAACGGUAACAGGAAGCAGCUUGCUGCUUCGCUGACGAGUGGCGGACGGGUGAGUAAUGUCUGGGAAGCUGCCUGAUGGAGGGGAUAACUACUGGAAACGGUAGCUAAUACCGCAUAAUGUCGCAAGACCAAAGAGGGGGACCUUCGGGCCUCUUGCCAUCGGAUGUGCCCAGAUGGGAUUAGCUUGUUGGUGGGGUAACGGCUCACCAAGGCGACGAUCCCUAGCUGGUCUGAGAGGAUGACCAGCCACACUGGAACUGAGACACGGUCCAGACUCCUACGGGAGGCAGCAGUGGGGAAUAUUGCACAAUGGGCGCAAGCCUGAUGCAGCCAUGCCGCGUGUAUGAAGAAGGCCUUCGGGUUGUAAAGUACUUUCAGCGGGGAGGAAGGGAGUAAAGUUAAUACCUUUGCUCAUUGACGUUACCCGCAGAAGAAGCACCGGCUAACUCCGUG